GAUGAACGCUAGCUACAGGCUUAACACAUGCAAGUCGAGGGGCAGCGCAGUGUAGCAAUACAUGGGCGGCGACCGGCGCACGGGUGCGUAACGCGUAUCCAACCUUCCCGUUACUCAGGGAUAGCCUUCCGAAAGGGAGAUUAAUACCUGAUGGUGUUUGAAUUCCGCAUGUUAUUCAAACUAAAGAUUUAUCGGUAACGGAUGGGGAUGCGUGACAUUAGAUAGUAGGCGGGGUAACGGCCCACCUAGUCUACGAUGUCUAGGGGUUCUGAGAGGAAGGUCCCCCACACUGGAACUGAGACACGGUCCAGACUCCUACGGGAGGCAGCAGUGAGGAAUAUUGGUCAAUGGUCGGAAGACUGAACCAGCCAAGUAGCGUGAAGGAUGAAGGUUCUAUGGAUUGUAAACUUCUUUUGUAAGGGAGCAAUAAGUCUCACGUGUGGGAUGAUGAGAGUACCUUACGAAUAAGCAUCGGCUAACUCCGUGCCAGCAGCCG
rnacentral:rRNA from 1 species